UGAAACUCAUAAUUGCAUAUCUGAUAAUCAAUGUUUUGCAGGUAUGAGAUGCAGGAUCUGCAUGUUUCUGAGACCCUUCCUCAAAUGGUUGCUCUCUCUGAGGCAUACCUGCAGAUAUAUGAGCAGCAACAGUAGCACUGGAGUUUAGAAGUCCUAUUGUCAACAUUUUGUCAUACUGUUUUUGGGUACAAGUAACACAAGAGUCUUACCUUCUGUAAAUGGUUGAGGAAAGAUCGGAAUAUGAUGGCACCAUUGCUUGACUGGCACUUGGCAGAUUUACUAAGCUUAGAAAAACAUUGAGGAUUUGUAGAAAAAAGGCAGUACUUUAUCUGUUUCAUACCAUUAAAAGGAUGAACAGUUUUGUUACUAAAAAACUUUCCAUCUAUUGUAGCAGAGCAGGAAACUUAAUAAUUCGGUGAUGAUUGACUUGGGUGAUUCAGAUAGUGACUUCGGUUUGGUAGUCCUGCUUUGUGUACAACUUUGAUCUGUAGGGAUAAAAAAAUGAUAUGCUAGGCUUUGGUUUGUUCAUUGUUACCGAGUUCUCAUGGCAGUAAUGUCAUGAAAAGCAGUAUUCGUAGGCUUCUCUUGUUUUAUUGUCGACACUUCAUUGCCUGGAUUUCUUUCUGCUAGUAGUUUUCUUACAGUGAUGUGGUGGAUAGUAUUCUGUUUCGUAUUGUUUGAUUUUUUGAAGCGCAGCAGUUUCUACUUGAAAAAAGUGUUAAUGCACCCAUCCACCCACGCACGCACGCAGAGACAGAAUAUAUUACUUGGUUUCAUGAGAGAAAUAAUGAUUAAAAAGUAUAUGACCAUGUGACUUGUCAAUAAUGCAAAUUUUGGGGUUGUGGUACCUGGUAAGAAAUUGAUAAGGUAAAGGUCCCCCCUUACAGUGACUUGUCACAUUUGUCCUUGUGGCUGAGCGACUUCAUGGCCUGUCCUUGUACUUUUCAAAUUCCAAGUGGGUAUGUAAAAUGUAAGCCUGGCUAAAACACUUGAUAUUGUGGUACCACUCCACAGUAAAUGAGAGAUAAAUGACCAUAACACCAAGUAAUAUAUUACUUGGGUUAGUUGUGGAUUUUUCAUUAGAAAGAAAUGACAAGUUGAUCUUUCUUGAGAGAAAAGGAAGAUGAAUUGCCUAGUUAGUGAAGAAUUCAUGUCUAACUUAUAUAGGUAGGGUAGUUGUGGAUUUUUCAUGACUAAAUUAUUUAUCAAUUAAUAAGACAUGGUUAAGUCUAAAGAAAGAUUUGGGUUGAGCAAAGUGCUCGGUUUGAUAAAAAAUCCCAUAAUUUUUUUAUAUGUUCUUUUAAUUACUAUCAAAUUUAGUUAGGAAAUUCCAAAGAUUGAGACCCAAAAAGCCUUUAAAUUAGGCUUGGAAGGAGCUCAUCAAGUUAGUUUUGUUUUAUUAUUAUUAUUAUUAUUAUUAUUAUUAUUAUUAUUAUUUUGGAUUUUUUAGUUUGGUUAGAACUUAUAUUGCUUGGUAUUUUAUGAUUAGGACUUUUAGUUUCAUUUCUUGUUUACGUCAAUUUUUUAGAUUUAUUUAAAUAAUUAUAAAUAUAUUUAAAGAUACAAACUAUUGAAGAGAAAAUAUGUAGAAAUAAAUUUUUAAAUUAAAAUUUUCAUGCCGUUAUUCUACAAGAUUUAACGGGUUUGUGUUUCAUGUUUUUUUAUUAUUACUAUUAUCCCUCGCAUCACUUCCUUCCAAAUGAUGGUGUGGUAGCUGAAGCCAAUCAGUGAUGAUUUACUGGUGGAGGAAGCAAAUAUCACUUGCUUUUGUGUGUGGUCAAGAACAAGAUGCAUAUCCCCUUGCACGUCACUACACAUGCAAGCAAGUUGGCAUUUGGUGGUAAUACCGAGGGACAUUAGAUUUUAGAAUUGCUUUGUUUUCGUUAUUAAUUUGAGUUUUAUAAAAUAUUAUGUUAUUAGAUAUUUAUAUAAUUGUUAAUUUUAAAAUUUAUAAAAUUAAUUGAUAUAUAUAUAAACCGAUGAAGUAUCCAUAAUAAUAAUAAAAUUAAUAUUAGUUGAUGUGAUAGAUUUUAAUGCUAUAAAACAAAAGGAAAAAAAAAAAGGAACAUUCAUUUCAUAAGGUCUCAACUUUAAUUAACUUCUUCAGAAGGAUAGGAAAUAGAUCACUACAACAUGACCAAAUCAAACAUAAUUAAAGACUAUAACUUAAUUUAAUUUGAGGAAUGAAAUUAAGUCACGGUAGGAGUAGGAAUUGAUGAUCAUUGAUGGAAUCAACAUGGUAGAUAAGGCCUAAGCUCUUCAAGGUUUGCUUCCUAACCAUUGAUCAAUCAAGUUUCCAAAAGCAACAUACGAAGAUCCACCCUCCACCACAGCUUUCUUCGCCAUUUCACUGGUUUCUUUGGCCUUGUUCCUCAGUUCACCACCUUGUUCCAUCAUGGUUUUCACAGCUUUUGUUAUCACCUCCGCCUUGACAAAAUCUGUAGGGCAAUCUCUCCUAAAAUCCAACGUCAAUUCCACAGCUAAUCCCAAGUCUUUCACCAGCUGAAAAGCAUUCAUGUGUUGCUCAGCAUAUAAUGGCCAAGUUAUAAUAGGCACAGCAUACCACAAGGCCUCCAAAGUUGAGUUCCAUCCACAGUGUGAUACGAAAGCGCCUACUGCUUUAUGUGCCAAGAUUUCUACUGUGGUGCCCAUCCACAUAGCAUCCCAAUGUUUUUAGUUCUUUCCAAGAAUCCCUGUGGCAAGAUCUCUUCAUAGUUGUCAAAAAAACUAGCUUGCAGCAUCCCCUUGGAGGGUUUCAACCGGAUGGACCAUAAGAACCUAUGUCCACUCCUCUCGAGCCCGAUUGCAAUUUCUUUCAACUGAGCUUCAUCAAAGCCUCCUCCACUCCCGAAGCACAAGAACACCACUGAUUUUUCAGGUUGAUCAUCAAGCCAUUUCAAGAUCUCGUCACGCUUGACGCCAUCGGAUCCUGACAGACUCUUUCCCUUGUGAUCAAUCAAUGGCCCAACAUUGAAAAUAGGUGGUAUAUCAUCUCUAGCCAAAAGAGCACUAACUGCAUGGGACUCAGCUUCUGAAAAUGUAUUAACAAUGAUACCGUUGGAGUCCUUAAACUUUCUUCCAUGGUUUGCAAAAGUCUCGUAUUCCACAUCGGUGUGCAAUAACGACAUAACACGGUAAGGCACGGGAUUUGAAAAACAGGGGAUGAUAUAGUCAGGGUCAGUAGGGCUAAACUUAGGCUCACCCUUGUCUUGUCUAUCUGAAAGGUAAAGCGUCAUGGCAAGAAAGGCAGCAUCAGAAGUGAAAAAAACAUGAGAAGGGACCCCAAGUUCUUUGGAAACAUCAAUAAAUGCAGUGCAGAACAUAUCAACAACAACACUAGCAAUUGGUGCAGGGUUGUGGGCCAUGACUUGGUUAACAAUAGUAUCUUUUACAAGGGUUUUGUGAUCAUUGAUGUAAGAAGUAUAAGCACUUGCAGGGCUUACAGCUAAAGCUUCUGGAGGAGGUGCAGGUAUGGUCUCAGGAAUUUCGAUGAACCUGAUUUCUGUAUGAAUUGAAGCAAGCGAUUCGCUGUUCUUGCUUAUGCUACCGUAAAAUGGAUUGUUGAUGGCAAGCAUGGUUAUCAAGAAACUGUCGUUUCUCUUAAGAACCAUCUUUGCUAACUGAACAGCUGAUACAAGGUGGCCAAAUCCAGGUGCAGGGACAAAGACGAGCUGUGUUUUCUUCAUUUUGGAGGUUUUGAAUGUUCAAUGUGGUGAUCCUUGUUUGCCUUAUAAUGGGCUCAAGGUCAAUGCUAGCUGUUAUGUUUUUUUUUUUUUUUCUAAAUUAAUCAUCAAAUCAAAUUGGAUAUAACAAAUAUUACGAAGAUUGAUUUCAUAGAAAAAUUUUCUUGUAAUGUUUUUAAACAAUUCAAAUUAAAUAAAAAAAAUAUAAAUAUAAAAGAAAAUAAAGCUAGGGUUUCAUUAAUCAUUUUAUUCUGAAAUUAUAUUUUUAAUCUAAAUAUAAAAAAAUUAUAUAUAAACUAAACUAAAAAUACUAUUUUAUUUUUAAUAAAUAAAAUUAAAUAAAUAUACUUUUUAACAACAUUCAUCUUUCCCGUAAAAUAUCUUUUACUAUGAUAAUUUAAUUAAGUAUCACUUGAUUAAAAUAUAUUUUAAAAAUUAAAGAUUAUAUUAUAAUUAAUACAAGAGUUAUAUUUCUAGACCUAGAAAAAUCAAGUAAGGAUUUAAUUGAUUAAAUUUCUAAAAUUAAUUACCCUUAUAUAAUAUAUGGAUAUUAUUUAAGAGCAAAUAAAUAUAUUUUGUCAUUUAUACGGUUUUAUGAUUUCUUAUAAAUAUAAAACUAAGCCUAUUAUUUUGUAAAUAAAAAAUAAUGAUUGUCUGUUAAAUAGAAAAAUUAUGUAAAUAUAAUAUUAGAGCUAACACUCUAUACAUAACAAUUUAUCAUUUCUAAACAAAAAUUUAUGAGUUUUUUUCACGGGUAGUUUGUGUAUAUUAUCAUUAGAGAUCAGGUAAUGAAAUUAUUUAUAGUUUAUGUCAACCUAACUUUUAAAAAAUAAUUUAAAAUAAAAAAAUAAAUAUUUAAAUAAUUUUAAACUUAAUAUAAUAUGAUAUAAGAAAUGAUAUCCUGUUAGUGCGAGUUUGUGUGUAUUGACAACUUAAUAUAUUCAGUCAUGCGAAUUCUUUGUAGUUGUUAACUUGUUAUGGUUUCAAAUUGAGGAAGGACGUAGUUUUUAAUGUCAACAACAAUGAUUGAUUGUGAUUGCAUUUAAUAGCUAGACAGUUACAUGGCUAGAAAGAAUCCAAAGAUAUAAUAUAUACAUGAUGAUAUUCUAUUUAAAUUUAUUAAAUGGCAAUUUCGUAGGAAUUGCUAAAGUGUUAAAUUGUGGAUGAAGUUUUUUAUGAAUUUUUAUUUUUAUUUUAUUCUAUUGUACUUUUCAUCAUUGAUAGUUAUUUAUGAAAAAUAUUAUAUCACAAUUUAUAUCAAAAUUAUUGACACAAAAAUUCUAUCACUAUUAUCUUCUAAAAUUAUUGAUGAAAAUUUUUUCAUUGCCAUUUCUGAUUUUAUUUAUUAAUUUUCUGGUAAUAAUAAUCUUAUGCUCAGGUUUAUAAUCCUAUAAUUAAAAAAAUAGUAUCUGAAAUUGAAACUUAAAAGAAGAUUAAACCUUCCAUUUUUAAAUUAUAUGAAAUGUUGAUAAUACAACUAAUCAAACAUAAACUAACAAUCAUUAAUUUAAACAAAAUUUAAGAAUUGAUGGUAUGAUUCCAUAAAUUAAUUAUUAAAAUUACAUUUUAUAAAUUUUUAUCAAGUAAUUCUACCAUCAAUUCCUAAAAUCUAACAAUCAUUUAAACAAAAUUUAAGAAUUGAUGAUAGAAUUACUUGGUAAAAUUUUAUAAAAAUAAGCAAACUUUCUUAAUAAUCAUAUACACCCAUCCUUCUUAUUAAAUGACAUUUAAAUGUCUAAAGUAAAGAAUACCUACAUCUAGCUAAAACAAAAUUCGGGAUUCUUCUACAAUAAAAAUGCUAUCAUUUCAUGCACGCAUCAUAAACGAAAAAUCCAAACCAACAUGAUCAUAUAUAUAUAUAUAUAUAUAUAUAUAUAAAUGUAAUGACACAUAAACUUUCCAGUCAAAAUAUUAUAUUUUGAAGAGUGAAAAUACAAACAAUGUUAGUUAAUCUAAAGCUAUCACAUGCCCAACUAUUCUAAUGGCUCUAAUUUUCAACUACUAAUGAAAAAAAAAAUACUAAAAAGUAUUUUUAUAUAUUAAUUAAAAUAAAGUAUACAAUAUUAAGAUUAUUCAAAAUGUUAGACUCACAUCAUGCAUAAACUCAUAUGAGCUUAUCUUUUAAUGUAUCAUGAAUGAUUUUAUUGGUGUGGGUUUUUUUUUUAUAUAUAAUCCUGAAUAUUUAGAUUAUAUUUUUAUAUGUACCUUAAUUAAUUUUUUUAAAAUUCUAAAUUUUACAACCAUGUGAUGUAUUGAUGGGGAAGGCAGUGAGGUGGUGACUGUUUCUGGAGGGACGGGUGCUUGUAAAUUAGAUAGUGAUGGGUCGACAAGCCAUGGCCAUAAGCAAAAAGAUAAAGGACGAGGAGAGGGAGAAAAAGUUGUGCAUAUUUUGUGCAACAUGUGAUGGUGGAACAGGAUAAAGGACGAGGAGAGGGAGAAAAAGUUGUGAAUCCCUGUGGCAAGAUCUCUCCAUAGUUGUCAAAAAAACUAGCUUGCAGCAUCCCCUUGGAGGGUUUCAACCGAAUGGACCAUAAGAACCUAUGUCCACUCCUCUCGAGCCCGAUUGCAAUUUCUUUCAACUGAGCUUCAUCAAAGCCUCCUCCGCUCCCGAAGCACAAGAACACCACUGAUUUUUCAGGUUGAUCAUCAAGCCAUUUCAAGAUCUCGUCACGCUUGACGCCAUCGGAUCCUGACAGACUCUUUCCCUUGUGAUCAAUCAAUGGCCCAACAUUGAAAAUAGGUGGUAUAUCAACUCUAGCCAAAAGAGCACUAACUGCAAGGGACUCAGCUUCUGAAAAUGUAUUAACAAUGAUACCGUUGGAGUCCUUAAACUUUCUUCCAUGGUUUGCAAAAGCCUCAUAUUCCACAUCGAUGUGCAAUAACGGCAAAAGACGGUAAGGCACGGGAUUUGAAUAAGAGGGGAUGAUAUAGUGUCAGUAGGGCUAAACUUAGGCUCACCCUUGUCUUGUCUAUCUGAAAGGUAAAGCAUCGUGGCAAGAAAGGCAGCAUCAGAAGUGUAAAAAACAUGAGAAGGGACCCCAAGUUCUUUGGCAAUAUCAAUAAAUGCAGUCACUACAAGAUUUAACAGUUUUACUGAUGGAAUUUCCGUCAGUGUAAGACACAUAUUCCAUCGGUAAUUAAUUUACCGACGACAUGACCGACGAAGAAUUUCUGUCGGUGAAUCUUUAUGAUUACAUAUCUGAUAAUCAAUGUUUUGCAGGUAUGAGAUGCAGGAUCUGCAUGUUUCUGAGACCCUUCCUCAAAUGGUUGCUCUCUCUGAGGCAUACCUGCAGAUAUAUGAGCAGCAGCAGUAGCACUGGAGUUUAGAAGUCCUAUUGUCAACAUGUUGUCAUACUGUUUUUGGGUACAAGUAACACAAGAGUCUUACCUUCUGUAAAUGGUUGAGGAAAAAUCGGAAUAUGAUGGAACCAUUGCUUGACUGGCACUUGGCAGAUUUACUAAGCUUAGAAAAACAUUGAGGUUUUGUAGAAAAAAGGCAGUGCUUUGUCUGUUUCAUACCAUUAAAAGGAUGAACAGUUUUGUUACUAAAAAACUUUCCAUCUAUUGUAGCAGAGCA
rnacentral:lncRNA from 1 species